UGUUCCUGCAUGGUGUAGGCCUUCUGAACAAAGAACAGGCUCGAAUAGCAAGCCUGUGCUGGAAGCUAAGGAGAAUAUGCCACCAGAGAAAUUUAGAGAAAUACCUCCCUGGUGAGGUCUCUGGAUAGGAAAGAUACAAUCUCCUUCGUCUUCUUGAAAUAUAUGCUUACAUUCCAGGGUAAUGAAUAAUCUUUCUCUUCAGAGGCGAGGACAAGCAGCUAUGCCAGCCGCCACAUAAAAGGAGAGCUGUUUGCACAGAACUGCCGUGCGUUAACCCCCUGCCAUUCGCUGCCAGUGAUGGGUCAGAGUCUUGCGGGAAUGCCUGGCACCUCAGUGAAAUCUUCAGCUGCUGGGGACAGAACAAGCAUGAAGAUCUUGCUAACUGCAGCCUCUGGGCUCCAAAGGGAGGCAGCCUCCCCCAGGAGAGUACCCGCCCAGGUACCCUGUGGGGUUUUGGACUUGCAGUUUCGACACAGCUACUAGCUAUUCUUCCUCACUGCCGCCGAUCCCCGCUGAGACGCAGCAGCCCCGAGUCCUCACCGGGUGGUUGUUCCAAGAACGAUGACCAGCGGCGGAAACCAACUCCCAAAAGCCUUUCUGAGCAGGUCUUCAACC